rnacentral:siRNA from 1 species
ACAAAACUGUCAAACGUUCCUA